UACGUAGGGGGCAAGCGUUGUCCGGAAUCAUUGGGCGUAAAGCGCGUGUAGGCGGCUCAGUAAGUCCGCUCUGAAAGCCCGGGGCUCAACCCCGGGAGGCGGGUGGAUACUGCUGAGCUCGAGUCCGGAAGAGGAGUGUGGAAUUCCCGGUGUAGCAGUGAAAUGCGUAGAGAUCGGGAGGAACACCAGUGGCGAAGGCGGCUACCUGGACCAGCAUUGACACUCAAGCACGAAAGCGUGGGGAGCAAACAGG
rnacentral:rRNA from 1 species